AUCCUCCAGCAGCGGGAUGUGAGCCACCUGCAAGGAGGGACACCAAUAAGGCGUCUGAUAAGAUAAGUCUUAUAAAAUAUAUAGGUUUAUGAUAAUUAAGACUGAGCUAACAGAUGAGAAAUCCUAGUCAUUGGCCAAGCAGCAUUUGAACCCAAUACAAGUUUCUUUGUAUUAAUUUGGGCCCUAACUCGGGCGGGCGGCUAGCAUAAAGCACACACAUGGCAGUGGGGCUCCACAGCUUUUGGUGGAAAGAUUUAUCGUAACACCUUUGGGGACAAGGGAGUGGAAUGUGGCAGUUUGAAAGAAAAUAGUCUCCACAGGGAAUGACACAAUUAGGAGGUGUGAUCUUGUUGGAGUAGGUGUGGCCUUGGAGGAAGUGUGCCAUUGUGGAGAGGGGCUUUGAGGUCUCAUAUAUGCUCAAGCUACUCCCAGUGAGACGGACCACUUCCCUGUUGCCUGUGAGUCAAGAUGUAAGAACUCUCAGCUCCUUUUCUAGCAUCAUGUCUGUCUGCAGGCUGCCUUGUCAUACCAUGAUGGUAAUGGACCAAACCUCUGAACUGAAACUUCACCCAGGAGUUCACAACACUGGAGCUGCCUAUGUGGCCGAUUGCCAGAGUUGAGCACACAUGGUGCUGGCCAAAAAGGGGCUUAGCUUUCCCAGGAGAGACUAAGAGCAAGAAUUGGACAAGCAGAGAACAGUCUUCAAAUGAAUGUUUGGGACACAUUUGUCACAACAUUUUAUUAUAGAACAAUGACAUUCUGAUAUAUUUAGAUUCUUGUCAUUUUUUACUUAAUCUUUGUGUGUGUGUGUGUGUGUGUGUGUGUGUGUGUGUGUGUGUGUGUGUGUGUGUGUUUCAUGUCUGUUAAUAUAGACACCUAUGUUUCAUGAUAUGUAGAGGUCAGAAUUCAACCUGUUAUAAUGGUCCAGACUUUCCACUUGGUUUAAGGCUGGGUCUCUUGUCAUCUCCAUGGUAUGGACCAGUCUUAACUGUAGUGGAGACUCUGUGAAUUCCCCUCCCUUCUACCCAAAAGAACUCUGGGAUGGAAGAUGCCGUUGUCUGAUAUUGUGUGGAUAUCUGAACUCAGGUCCUUGUUCUGCAGUGAAACCUUUACCAAAUGAACUUCAGGGGAACUAGAGAGAAUUCUGGG
rnacentral:lncRNA from 1 species